GGAGACAGGUUUUCUGAGACGACCAAUUUUUUCCUGAGAUUGAGUUGGCACGAGAUUGAUUAGUUACUUCCCUUCGGCCGAAAUCAAAUAAUUUUACUUUUCUCCCAAGAGAAACCUCUUGAAAAACCUUCUCUUAACUUCCAACAAUUCUGCCCUCACCUGUAGGACAUAAAUUGGUGGCUUAAAAAGUUUAUUUUCUUUACCCAUCAUUCCUAACAGGAGGAGGAAACAUGGAAGUGAUACCGUUGGCUGAGUACAAGAAACAAAUACAAGAAUGAACGUUCUCAUGUCGCCACUUAGAUACAUUGUUGUUAAAUUGAAGAAAAUCAACAGUUUUAUGACAUGAAAGGAAAAAAAAUAGGAAAGUUAACAGCUGAGAGGCAAGUUUCCGUUAUGUACCCGGUAUGGAGAAACUCGUAUCAGCUUCCCAAUCCAGAGUAACCGUUCUAUCGUUAACGAAUGGAGCCUUUAGCCAUCGGUCCAUGACUGCAAAUGAAAAAAAUAAUUGCAUCCCUCGUGAAGUUCAAUGAGAUCACAGUUGAAUGCACUGACGCUUUCACAUCGCAGAGAAAAGAUUUUAAAACACCCUCUUCAAAACGUGGCGAGGGUGACAAGUUUUUCUAUUGUUCUGGAAAAUAAAAUUCGAAUUCAGUGAAACUGAA